rnacentral:lncRNA from 1 species
GGUGCCUCUGACUCCCGAGUGCUGAGAUUAAAGGUGUGCACCACCACACCCGACAAGGAAGCCUGUUUUAAGAAGUGAUUCCAUGGAGGAGUUCUGCGGCGGCUCAGGGCUUGACUAAACAGUGGACCUCAGCCAGAGAAGGAUCAUGUUCUUGCAGGGUCCCAUUUCUCUCAGUAGACAAGAGAGGCUAAACCAGGCUGCAGGUGACAGGAAGAAUUGAAUAAACUGAAAGCAAAGGGCAGCCUUCUAAUUACGCUUCGUGGCUAUGUGGACAACCUGGAGAAGUCUGGAAACAAGCCAGCAGUAGAGCUCUGACUGGCUUGUAUGCCUAGAAAGGAAGGGCUCUUCUUUCGCCUCACGGGCACAAAUGGGACCCACGAGCGCCGAUUUCAGACUAUUCUGAUCCCUUCAAAAAGAAAGUUAGGAGUCCAGGCUACUAGACUUAUGACAGACAAGGAUGGAGACAGCUAAGGAACUGGCUAUUAAUCACCAGUCCCUCUGCUCACAGCCCAUUGGGACACCUUAGGGUUCCUGCUGCAGCUCCAGAACUGGGGGAGCAGGGUUGGGGGUGAGUGUGUGUGUGUGUGUGUGUGUGUGUGUGUGUGUGUGUGUUGACUCACCCUGCAGUAUUCUCUCCAUCUGCACAGGUCCCCAGUCUCUGAGACUGAAUCACCCCUCUUUCACUAUGCCUCUGCACAGCUGCCCUUGUGCUCCCUCUCCUUGCCCCGCCUCUUUUUAAGACAGUAUUAUGCAGCCCUGGCUGUCCUGGAACUUAUGUAAACCAGCCUGGCCUUGAACUUGCAGAGAUCCACCUGCCUUUGCCUCUGCCCCUGCCCCUGCCCCUGCCGAUUGAAA